UACGUAGGGUGCGAGCGUUAAUCGGAAUUACUGGGCGUAAAGCGUGCGCAGGCGGUUUUGUAAGCCAGAUGUGAAAUCCCCGGGCUCAACCUGGGAAUGGCAUUUGGGACUGCAAGGCUUGAGUGCGGCAGAGGAGACUGGAAUUCCUGGUGUAGCAGUGAAAUGCGUAGAUAUCAGGAGGAAUACCGAUGGCGAAGGCAGGUCUCUGGGCUGACACUGACGCUGAGGCGCGAAAGCUAGGGGAGCGAACGGG
rnacentral:rRNA from 1 species